rnacentral:rRNA from 1 species
UACGAAGGGGGCUAGCGUUGCUCGGAAUCACUGGGCGUAAAGCGCACGUAGGCGGCUUGUUAAGUCAGGGGUGAAAUCCUGGAGCUCAACUCCAGAACUGCCUUUGAUACUGGCAAGCUUGGAGUCCGGGAGAGGUGAGUGGAACUGCGAGUGUAGAGGUGAAAUUCGUAGAUAUUCGCAAGAACACCAGUGGCGAAGGCGGCUCACUGGCCCGAUACUGACGCUGAGGUGCGAAAGCGUGGGGAGCAAACAGG